rnacentral:snoRNA from 2 species
UACCCCAAACAUGCAAUUUCACACUAAAAGGUUUUUACUGAAGAAAAUGGAUGAUGUUAUGGGCCUCAGAGAUCUUGGUGGUA